rnacentral:lncRNA from 1 species
GCCACAAGAAACAAGUCAGCUAUAAUCCAGAAUCUCUAACUUCAAUUCAAUUUCAGAGAAAUAGUAAUUCAAAGCGAGAUUUCUCUCGUUACAAAUUCGGUUCAGCUUAAGCCAAGUCAAGCAGAGUUCAAGUUUUUAUCAAAUAUGAAAACCUCAACAAAUUUAUGGAGAGCCCUGAUAAGGCAAAACAGGUACCACAGUGCAGUUCCAGCUCAGUAAUCAUUAAGUCUAGCCACUUAUGUC